AGAGAGGGACUGCUGCUUGGUAGUAGAACAUCUGCUAUGCAUGCAGAAGGUUCCAGGUUCAAUUCCUGGCUUCUCUA